rnacentral:rRNA from 1 species
GGUGACACGGAGCUUGCUCUGUGGGAUCAGUGGCGAACGGGUGAGUAACACGUGAGCAACCUGCCCCUGACUCUGGGAUAAGCGCUGGAAACGGCGUCUAAUACUGGAUAUGUGACGUGACCGCAUGGUCUGCGUUUGGAAAGAUUUUUCGGUUGGGGAUGGGCUCGCGGCCUAUCAGCUUGUUGGUGAGGUAAUGGCUCACCAAGGCGUCGACGGGUAGCCGGCCUGAGAGGGUGACCGGCCACACUGGGACUGAGACACGGCCCAGACUCCUACGGGAGGCAGCAGUGGGGAAUAUUGCACAAUGGGCGGAAGCCUGAUGCAGCAACGCCGCGUGAGGGAUGACGGCCUUUCGGGUUGUAAACCUCUUUUAGCAGGGAAGAAGCGAAAGUGACGGUACCUGCAGAAAAAGCGCCGGCUAACUACGUGCCAGCAGCCGCGGUAAUACGUAGGGCGCAAGCGUUAUCCGGAAUUAUUGGGCGUAAAGAGCUCGUAGGCGGUUUGUCGCGUCUGCUGUGAAAUCCCGAGGCUCAACCUCGGGCCUGCAGUGGGUACGGGCAGACUAGAGUGCGGUAGGGGAGAUUGGAAUUCCUGGUGUAGCGGUGGAAUGCGCAGAUAUCAGGAGGAACACCGAUGGCGAAGGCAGAUCUCUGGGCCGUAACUGACGCUGAGGAGCGAAAGGGUGGGGAGCAAACAGGCUUAGAUACCCUGGUAGUCCACCCCGUAAACGUUGGGAACUAGUUGUGGGGUCCAUUCCACGGAUUCCGUGACGCAGCUAACGCAUUAAGUUCCCCGCCUGGGGAGUACGGCCGCAAGGCUAAAACUCAAAGGAAUUGACGGGGACCCGCACAAGCGGCGGAGCAUGCGGAUUAAUUCGAUGCAACGCGAAGAACCUUACCAAGGCUUGACAUAUACGAGAACGGGCCAGAAAUGGUCAACUCUUUGGACACUCGUAAACAGGUGGUGCAUGGUUGUCGUCAGCUCGUGUCGUGAGAUGUUGGGUUAAGUCCCGCAACGAGCGCAACCCUCGUUCUAUGUUGCCAGCACGUAAUGGUGGGAACUCAUGGGAUACUGCCGGGGUCAACUCGGAGGAAGGUGGGGAUGACGUCAAAUCAUCAUGCCCCUUAUGUCUUGGGCUUCACGCAUGCUACAAUGGCCGGUACAAAGGGCUGCAAUACCGUGAGGUGGAGCGAAUCCCAAAAAGCCGGUCCCAGUUCGGAUUGAGGUCUGCAACUCGACCUCAUGAAGUCGGAGUCGCUAGUAAUCGCA